GGGGGCGACAGGCUUCGACAGGAGUCUUAAUCGUCGAGCGGAUGCAUGCCGGGCUCCUUCAUGCAGCUCGUUAAAAAGUGUGAAGAAAAAACAAACGCCAAUAAUCAAGAAUUGGCUCUCGCUGCCUAAUUAAGCACCGAGCGUCUCGCCGCAAGUUGCUCAUGCGCGCGGAGCGAGAUGUCACUCAGAUGAGCUGGCCUGACCUUUCGGUCCGUGAGGUUGGGUGAGACUAAAGUCGGACUAGCUUCCAGCCAAGGUCUUCGUCGCUUCACUUACUUGGCUUUGGGAGCGAAGUUGUCCGGCGUCAAAAGCGUCGGACAAAAAGAGAAGCGGCUAAGCAUGUAGAUUUCGUCGGCGUUGUCUCUUGGAUCAGGGUUCAAUUCCCUGCGCCUCCACCA
rnacentral:tmRNA from 1 species